UUAAAUAAUCAUGUUUAUUCUGUAGUUCGGUGUCGUUUUUUCGCGAAAAGUGUAUGAAUGUUCAGUUUGUUACCAACAGUAGACGAAAUCAGUCAAUAAUCGCAUUAUUAGAUGGGUAAUAUAGAGUCAUUGUGGCUCUUAUGGCAAGUGCGGUAAUUUGUGACAGUGUAGUUAACUUGUUGAGCAUUAAUGGGCAGAAAGUGGAGGAUGGGCCAGCGUGCAAAAACUUGGUGUCACUUUGCAGCUUUCGUUGCGUGCAUUGGAACUAGAAUGCUGAUCAAAAAUAGAAGAAACAAAAGACAACAACGAACAGAAAUUUUGCAAAACUUCUUUACAAAGUGAUGCACUUUAUGCGUUUCUUACCGUAUUAUCUUAACUAUAAGAUUUUGAGAACGGUAGCAGAUUGGCUAUCAAAACGUCCAGGUAACUUUUCUAUUCACAACGAGGUCCAUGGGCUAGAUUUAAGCUAGCUUAGGAAGCAAGAGAGGAUAUGUUAGGUUAGGUUUAGGUUUAGGUUAGAAUAAGUUAGAUUAAGUUAAAAGAUGUCAUUUAAAACAGCAAGAUUAAGGAUCCGUAGAAUAAGUAGCAGUGAGAAGUAUUGUAAAACUUGGCUGAAAUAAAUAUGUUCAAAGAA
rnacentral:lncRNA from 1 species